rnacentral:misc_RNA from 1 species
AACGCACAUUGCGCGGUAUGGUAUUCCGUACCGCACGGAUGGAGGAGCGUGUUCCCUCUGGGAUCGCAUUGCUUUCUUGAAAUGGAUUUUUUUAAACUCUCAAUUAUUACGUCAUUUCACCUCCUUCAUCCGAGAUUACCCGCUGAACUUAA